rnacentral:tRNA from 1 species
UCCCUAGAAGUCUAGUGGUUGAGACUCUGCGCUUUCAAUGCAGGGGAUGUGGCAUGGGUUUAAUUCCUUGUUGGGGAA